rnacentral:lncRNA from 1 species
GAUUAUGCUGGAGGGGAAAAAGGGAGCAGAGGACAUUAUUAUCUGACGGGGAGACUAGUGCGAGGUAGAGCUUCGGGAGCCAGGUGGAGCCCAAAGUGAGGUGGAGCUCUAGGUGGAGCUGGAUCGGGCAUGAGAUAGAAGACUCGGGAGGAUGAGAGGCGACGUCGCAAGGUGAGAUUCCUAUUGCCGUAGGAUGAUGCCCCGAGCAGGUCUCA